rnacentral:rRNA from 1 species
AGAGUUUGAUUCUGGCUCAGGAUGAACGCUGGCGGCGUGCUUAACACAUGCAAGUCGAACGGAGAUAAACGGUGAAGAGAUUUCGGUCGAUUCCUGUUUAUCUUAGUGGCGGACGGGUGAGUAACGCGUGGGUAACCUGCCCUGUACAGGGGGAUAACACUUAGAAAUAGGUGCUAAAACCGCAUAAGCGCACAGUACCGCAUGGUACAGUGUGAAAAACUCCGGUGGUACAGGAUGGACCCGCGUCUGAUUAGCUGGUUGGAGGGGUAACGGCCCACCAAGGCGACGAUCAGUAGCCGGCCUGAGAGGGUGAACGGCCACAUUGGGACUGAGACACGGCCCAAACUCCUACGGGAGGCAGCAGUGGGGAAUAUUGCACAAUGGGGGAAACCCUGAUGCAGCGACGCCGCGUGAGUGAAGAAGUAUUUCGGUAUGUAAAGCUCUAUCAGCAGGGAAGAUAAUGACGGUACCUGAGUAAGAAGCCCCGGCUAACUACGUGCCAGCAGCCGCGGUAAUACGUAGGGGGCAAGCGUUAUCCGGAUUUACUGGGUGUAAAGGGAGCGUAGACGGCAUGGCAAGUCUGAAGUGAAAGCCCGGGGCUCAACCGCGGGACUGCUUUGGAAACUGUUAAGCUGGAGUGC